CCUACGGGCGGCAGCAGUGAGGAAUAUUGGUCAAUGGACGAGAGUCUGAACCAGCCAAGUAGCGUGAAGGAUGAAGGCCCUAUGGGUUGUAAACUUCGUUUAUAUGGGAAUAAAACGUUCCACGUGUGGGAUUUUGUAUGUACCAUAUGAAUAAGGAUCGGCUAACUCCGUGCCAGCAGCCGCGGUAAUACGGAGGAUCCGAGCGUUAUCCGGAUUUAUUGGGUUUAAAGGGAGCGUAGGUGGAUUGUUAAGUCAGUUGUGAAAGUUUGCGGCUCAACCGUAAAAUUGCAGUUGAAACUGGCAGUCUUGAGUACAGUAGAGGUAGGCGGAAUUCGUGGUGUAGCGGUGAAAUGCUUAGAUAUCACGAAGAACUCCGAUUGCGAAGGCAGUUCACUGGACUGCAACUGACACUGAGGCUCGAAAGUGUGGGUAUCAAACAGGAUUAGAUACCCCGGUAGUC
rnacentral:rRNA from 1 species